GAUGAACGCUCGCUACAGGCUUAACACAUGCAAGUCGCGGGGCAGCAUGGGGGUUGCUUGCAAUCCCCGAUGGCGACCGGCGCACGGGUGAGUAACGCGUAUCCAACCUGCCCUUCACCACGGGAUAACCCGGCGAAAGUCGGACUAAUACCGUAUGUUGUCCAUUGACGGCAUCCGAUUUGGACGAAAGGUUUGGCGGUGAAGGAUGGGGAUGCGUCCGAUUAGCUGGACGGCGGGGUGACGGCCCACCGUGGCGACGAUCGGUAGGGGUUCUGAGAGGAAGGUCCCCCACACUGGAACUGAGACACGGUCCAGACUCCUACGGGAGGAAGCAGUGAGGAAUAUUGGUCAAUGGGCGUAAGCCUGAACCAGCCAAGUAGCGUGCAGGAUGACGGCCCUAUGGGUUGUAAACUGCUUUUAUGCGGGGAUAAAGUGGCCCACGUGUGGGUUUUUGCAGGUACCGCAUGAAUAAGGACCGGCUAAUUCCGUG
rnacentral:rRNA from 1 species